rnacentral:lncRNA from 1 species
CCCCAUCUCCAUCAAAUUCAACUGCCGUAACCUCCUAAAUAAUCAAACUCUAUAAAAUUAUUUUAUUGACAAAGCUUCUCUUAUUCUGAAAACCAUAGUAAUGAGUAUCUUACCGCAUCACUAUCACCAGCAACAGCGACACAUCUAAUCGACCAACUGAUGACUUAGUCCUCGUAUCAAAGCAUUCAACAGCCCCAUCCUCACCACCACCACGACUAAUCCAUGGACUUUGCUGAAUGGGCCAACAGAAAAUAUAUAUUAAAAAUGCUAAUAAGUCAACAGUAUGAAACUGUGCUUAAGAAAAUCAAAAUGAAAAAUCCCAAAAAAAACAUAGAUGCUCAACUUUAGUUUAAAAAUGACAGAUUUUUCUACUAGAUGAAAGGGGUCAUGUACAGCGCCUUUUGAGCCAUUAAACUGGAACACAAAAUCUUCAGGAAACCUCAUAGCAGUAGUACUGAGUUUAGAAAACUCAUUUAACAAUUACUUCAUUCAAGUAUAAAAUUAGCCUUGCAUUAAACUAGAUAUUGAGAAGUUUCCAACAGUUGAAUGGUAAGAAAGUGAAGAUGAAAAUGGAAAAGCAGCAAAGCUUCCAAAAAUGACGAAAGAAAAAAGUAUUAGAACACAUACAACCAUGUAUAAAAUUCUUGAGAAUACCGUAAGGGAUUGUAGCUUUGCAUUUCACACCAUUCAUGAACACACAUAACAUGCAUCAAGAGAAAA